rnacentral:tRNA from 1 species
GGGCCGGUAGUCUAGCCAGGAUAAGACGUAGGCCUCCGGGGUGCGUUUGCACGAAGAAAGCCUAAGAUCGCGGGUUCGAAUCCCGCCCGGCCCG